GAUCCUGGCUCAGGAUGAACGCUAGCGGCAGGCUUAACACAUGCAAGUCGAGGGGCAGCGCGGGGCGGCAACGUCCUGGCGGCGACCGGCGGAAGGGUGCGUAACGCGUGAGCGACAUGCCCGUUGCCCGGGGACAACCGGUGGAAACGCCGGACUAAUCCCCGAUGGGACGGAGGCCCUCAUGGGUCUCUGUUGAAAGUUACGGCGGCGACGGAUUGGCUCGCGUCCGAUUAAGCUAGUUGGCGGGUAACGGCCCACCAAGG
rnacentral:rRNA from 1 species